AAUGCCUUUAAAUUCGGUCCCGUGAGGCUGAGAAGGAACGUGUAUAUAAUGGGCAGCUCGUUUGUCGUGCCCGUUUAAGGAGAAAUGCACCCUCUCGCCGCAUUGGCAAGAGGGUUUUUCUAU
rfam:Bacillus sp. VT-16-64 NODE_166, whole genome shotgun sequence.